AUAAAAUAAAACAGUAUCGCUAGUUCAGCUCCUAUCCUGCCUUCUGUCGUGUUGUGACCGGGCAGCUGUGAAGCAGUGGAAGUGUGGAACACCGCAGGGACCGAGCAGCGGCGGAGGACCCGCAGGUGUUUUUGUCCACUCUCACUUUUUCAUGGUGUCACAAAGAGACUUAAGUGGUUACAGAAAAGGAAAUGAAGUCCAAAUUUGCAAUUCAACAAGGUUACUUCGGUGUCAAUAAAAUACCUUUCAUCAACGCUUUAUGGCCAUUGUACUUGGAUAUCUUCAUUUGCAUGCAUUUGCCUCAUGUGGCAAUGCUCACUUUCCUAGGUAUGUGUUCAUCUUUUUUAAUAUCCAUUGAAAAUUUGGCUCAGAAUCAACUCUUUAGUGGUUUAAGUUCAUCCGCUCACACAGGUAAUCCAUGAAAGAACAGGUAUUUUAAAUGCUCCUCAGAGAAAUAAAUUGCUGCUUUAUGUGUGGUUUGGGUGUUUCAGGUACUCCCAUAAAGAAAAAUAAAUACUGUUUAUGAUCACUGGGUAUGUACUUGUAUAUCUGAA